rnacentral:rRNA from 1 species
AACGAACGCUGGCGGCAGGCUUAACACAUGCAAGUCGAACGGAUCCUUCGGGAUCAGUGGCGGACGGGUGAGUAACGCGUGGGAACCUACCCUGGGGUGGGGAAUAACCUUGGGAAACCGAGGCUAAUACCGCAUACGCCCUAUUGGGGAAAGACUAUGUUGCCCUGGGAUGGGCCCGCGUCCGAUUAGCUAGUUGGUGGGGUAAUGGCCUACCAAGGCUGCGAUCGGUAGCUGGUCUGAGAGGAUGAUCAGCCACACUGGGACUGAGACACGGCCCAGACUCCUACGGGAGGCAGCAGUGGGGAAUCUUGCGCAAUGGGCGAAAGCCUGACGCAGCAACGCCGCGUGCGGGAUGACGGCCUUCGUGGUUGUAACCGCUUUCAGCAGGGACGAAAAUGACGGUACCUGCAGAAGAAGCCCGGCUAACUACGUGCCAGCAGCCGCGGUAA